AGGAUAAACGCUGGCGGCGUGCCUAACACAUGCAAGUCGAACGUCCUUUCUUGCUUCGGUGAGAGAGGGAGUGGCGGACGGGUGAGUAACACAUGGGUGACCUGGCCUGAAGUGAGGGAUACCGGCGAGAAAUCGCCGACAAGCCCGCAUAGGUUCUUCUGGUGGAGCGGAGAGAGCAAAGUUUCACGCGAGUGAGAUGCUUUGGGAUGGGCCUGUGGCCGAUUAGCUAGUUGGUGGGGUAAGAGCCUACCAAGGCGACGAUCGGUAGCUGGUCUGAGAGGACGAUCAGCCACACUGGGAUUGAGAACGGCCCAGACUCCUACGGGGGGCAGCAGUGAGGAAUUUUCCGCAAUGGGCGCAAGCCUGACGGAGCAACGCCGCGUGCAGGAGGACGCUUUUCGGAGUGUAAACUGCUUUUCUGUGGGAAGAGCAAGGACGGUACCACAGGAAGAAGCCCCGGCUAACUACGUGCCAGCAGCCGCGGUAAUACGUAGGGGG
rnacentral:rRNA from 1 species